GCUGUCCCCAACCCCACAGUGUCUCCUUGGUGUCCCCAACCCCAUGGUGUCCCCUCGGUGUCCCCAACCUCUAUGCUGUCCCCAACCCCACGGUGUCCCCAGACCGCACUCUGCCCCCUCGGUGCCCUCAACCCCCCGCCUUCCCCAACCUCAACGGUGUCCCCAACCCCCACAACGUCCCCAACCCCGCUGUGUCCAAUGUCACCGUUGUCCCCAAAUGCUCACGGCCAGCGCCCCGCUGUCAUCCAUGCGCCGGAUGUCCUCGCAACCCCACAGGGCCCCACGGGGGACAUAGAGGGUGUGACCCCCCCUCAGCGCCGCCCCUCGCAGCCUCUGCUCCGUCUCGGGGUCGGCCAGCGCCGUGGGGGACCCCAGCUGGGGACGUGGGGACAACCAUGUCCCCAACAUCCGGGUCUGAUGGCCCCAAUGGCCCCCAAUAUCUCAAAGACAGCGGCCCCAGAUUCGUCGGGACAACCAUGUCCCCAAAGUCACCAACAUCCCAACCCCAAUCUCCCCAAAGUCUCCAAAGUCCCCAGCAUCCCCACCCCAAUGUCCCCAAUGUCCCCAAUGUCCCCAGUGUCCCCAAUGUCCCCCAAACGUCCCCUGUGUCCCCCCAGACGGGAUGCUGGGAGCCGCCAUAGUUGGGGGGGUGGCUUUGGGGGUGGCCGGCCUGGCGGGGCUUUUGGGAUUUGCCAUCUCUCGUGCCCGUCACUGAUGUCACCACGUCCCCAACGUGUCCCCAACGUGUCCCCAAUGUGUCCCCAUCACGACCCCAACCCGUCCCCAUUGUCCCCAAAGUCCCCAAUGUCCCCAAAGUCCCCAACCCGUUGUCCCCAUUGCCCCCAACCCACAUCCCCAGUGUCCCAAAUGUCCCCAAUGUCCCCAACUCCCCAUUGUCCCCAAUGUCCCCAAUGUCCCCAAUGUCCCCAACCCGUCCCCAAUGUCCCCAACACCCCAUUGUCCCCAGUGUCCCCAAUGUCCCCAAACCUCCCCUGUGUCCCCAACACCCCAUUGUCCCCAAUGUCCCCAACCCAUCUCCAGUGUCCCCAACCCUCCCCAAUGUCCCCAUUGUCCCCGAUGUCCCCACGUCCCCCCUCCCCCGUGUCCCCAUGUCCCUGUCCACCCCAACCCCUGGCUGACAACGCGGUGACACGAUGGUGA
ensembl:lncRNA